rnacentral:rRNA from 1 species
ACUGUCAACUUCUUUAGGGAGAUGAAAGCUAUAAACAGGAAAUUCUUCUGUGACAUGCAACUCAAUGAGUCCGACAGAGUUAAGAACAUAUUCUGGGCAAACGCAAGCUGCCGAGGGGCGUAUCAGGACUUUGGGGACUGUGUAACAUUUGACACAAUAUAUAGGACCAACAAGUACCAUAUGCCACUUGGGGUGUUUGUCAGAACUAACAACCACUUACAGACUACAUUCUUUGGUUUCGCCCUGAUAAGAGAUGAAGAUGCAGAUUCAUUCAAGUGGCUGUUCAAGACAUUUUUAAGGUGCAUGAGAGGGAAGGCUCCUACAUGCAUCCUCACAGACCAGUGUCCGGCAAUGGCUUUGGCGAUCCCAGAUGUUUUCAAGAACACAGUACAUAAGUUAUGCCGCUGGCACAUUAUGAAGAAGUACAGGGAACACCUCGUGUACUUGUACUACCUGCACGAUGACUUUAAGGAUGAAUUCACAUCAAUGCUCAACUGGCCCUUCAUGUCAACUGAGUUUGAGGAUGCCUGGAAAAGACUCACGGAUAAGUACAACCUCCACGAUGAUGCCACAAUAGUGGGCAUGUGGAAUGAACGUGAGAGAUGGAUAUCAGCCUACUUCAAAGAAAUUUUCUGCGCCAAAAUGACAUCCACAUAG